GACGAACGCUGGCGGCGUGCCUAAUACAUGCAAGUUGAGCGCUGAAGGUUGGUACUUGUACCAACUGGAUGAGCAGCGAACGGGUGAGUAACGCGUGGGGAAUCUGCCUUUGAGCGGGGGACAACAUUUGGAAACGAAUGCUAAUACCGCAUAAAAACUUUAAACACAAGUUUUAAGUUUGAAAGAUGCAAUUGCAUCACUCAAAGAUGAUCCCGCGUUGUAUUAGCUAGUUGGUGAGGUAAAGGCUCACCAAGGCGAUGAUACAUAGCCGACCUGAGAGGGGGAUCGGCCACAUUGAGACGGAGACACGGCCCAAACACCUGCGGGAGGCAGCAGUAGGGAAUCUUCGGCAAUGGAUGAAAGGCUGAACGAGCAACGCCGCGUGAGAGAAGAAGGUUUUCGGAUCGUAAAACUCUAUUGGUAGAGAAGAACGUUGGUGAGAGUGGAAAGCUCAUCAAGUGACGGUAACUACCCAGAAAGGGACGGCUAACUACGUG
rnacentral:rRNA from 1 species